UACGUAGGAGACGAGCGUUGUCCGGAAUUACUGGGCGUAAAGCGCGUGUAGGCGGAUGAGCAAGUCUGCUGUGAAAGCCCCGGGCUUAACCUGGGAACUGCAUGUAAUACUGCUAGACUAGAGUACAGUAGAGGGUAGUGGAAUUUCCGGUGUAGCGGUGAAAUGCGUAGAUAUCGGAAGGAACACCAGUGGCGAAGGCGGCUACCUGGACUGAUACUGACACUGAGGCGCGAGAGCGUGGGUAGCAAACAGG
rnacentral:rRNA from 1 species